GUGAAACAGUCAAGGGGGGUGAGGGAGCGGGUGUUGCUAGGGAUGGGGUACUCGAGGUGGAGAGGGAAUGAGAGGAGGAGAAAACUCUGGUGGGUAAGGCGGGAGUAGUCAGGACGGGAUCUUGGCGAGGAUUUGGAGUAGGAGCAGGCACUGGGAGAGGUAGCGGAGGACAUGGAGGUGGGGGAACUUCAACAGACGUAACGGGAGAAUGGUUAAUAGAGGGCGC